CCGCCGCGCUACCCGGGGGCGGGGCCGCCGCGGUCCCUGCAGACGGCGACCUUCAAGGGUUCAGAGCCGCCCAGAGAACCCGGUGAAAGGAAGUUGGAAGUGACUAGGAGACCAUCUAGUUCUGAAGAUUUCACCCCUCCUUCUAUAAAAGAGAACACCUAACUUGUCAGCAUCAGGUUGUUGGAUAAGAGGAAGCUGUGGAGAAUGAAAGGCCAUUAAGUCUUGGCUGGCCAUUUCUGCUGUCUCAGCUCUCUGAAAGCAAAGGAUGCUUUCAACCACCAAUGACAGUAAAUUUAAUGUUCAAAUAUCAGCAGAAGUUUGUUUUUGAAAAGGAAACUCAGAAAAGUCUAUGGGUGUAAGACAUCAGCUUAAAUAAAGCAGCUAUCAAAUAAAUACUUUCCAGACAACUGGGUCAUCACCUGACUUUACUUCUGAAAGAAGCAAAGGCUAAAACUUCCCUUUUGGUAUAGUCUUAAGAGUUACCUUGUUAGGGUCAUGCCACAUCCAGGGCCGAUCUGGGGCCAGUUCUUGGGAAUCUUGUCUUGUGAAGGAGAGAGCAAGCUGCACGGAGUUGGAGUCAGCAUGAUUCUUCAGAUGGCUAGCAUACUGCUUCCUUGGAGGUGAUGAAAGACACCUCCAGGCCAAAUUUACCAGAGUGUCCAGCUGCAAAGAGAAAGAGAAAGGUAAUAGAUAAAACUCUGUAUGUGGAUGAAUUCCAAGAGCAAUAGAGUUCUACAAGAAAUUGUUUCCCCUGGGACCUUUCUGCUAAAUCUUCAUGGACUGCUGCAGUG